CAAACAAGGCAGAGAUGGUAGGGGAAGAGAAGGUGGAGGUGAAAGUGGAGGAGGAGGAGGAGGAGGAGGAAGUAAAAUCGGAAGGAGUGAGGCAUAUAGGCAGUCAUUUCUUCAGAGGGCUGAGCGCAGGUAAGGUGCUGUCACUGCUGUACGGAGAGCUGAACAAGCCUGUCCUGCCAAAAAUCCCCAAAAAUCCCCAUGCUGCUGAAGGAAACGGGACUUAAUGUUAGACAAACUGGCUGGCAGAAAUCAGAUGCUAUCCUUCUCUCUCACUUCAUCUUCCAGGAAGGGAGGAGAGAGGUCAUCCUUCUGCCAAUGCAAAGACGACGAUUUCCUCCUACUACUGUUUUUUUUUGUUAUAAAAUGUCAAACUCGGAUCGCCGUUAUGUUGUCCUCCCCACUUUAUCCUGUGAACAAACGUUACAGUGAAGAACAGUACCUGUCUUUGGUGCCGGUACAGGACCACCAUAUAAUAAAUUAUAAGAUAAUUGAUUUUUUUUUUUUCAUUAUGGAACCAUUUUUUUUUUUUUUUUGUUUAUGCUAGUCUGUGGUGUAAGUACAAGAGUUGACCACAUCUAUAUAAACUACGAUGAUUAUCAGUCCAUGCUUUUAAUAAAUUUCCUUUGAACCCAA